CGUCCUGCGUCACUGCACUGCCGCUCCGGUCGGACCAUCAGCACCACAGGAUGGAUGUUGUAAUGGCUUCAAUACAACAAAAAUUCCCAGAAAAAGGGUGACACACGUGGCGAAGACCCCGAGUGGCUGUGAAUCCCAAGCAAUUGUAAUCACAACAUGUCUGAAGAAGUUUUGUAUUGAUCCUAACCUGCAAUUCGCAAAGAAACAAUUGGCACUUUUCGAGGAGUCACCAUCCAAACAUGGUUUCAAUCUCAAACCAUGUGAAUAGAAGAAUAAAACUCACAUUGUGAGCCAGAGUGUCUUUUAAGAUAAGACAAUAUCAACUACUACUGCAUGUUACUGAAUUAAUAUUAAGAUUUAUGAGUUCUCAUUUGUGUGUAUGACUUGUCCUAAAUUAAUAUUUGGAAAACAUUGUAAAUGUAUUUUGCUACACAUUAACUGUCCCUUUUAGAAUAAAAUAUUAUUUUUGUAUUUAA